rnacentral:rRNA from 1 species
CUGUACAGUUCAGAGUUUGAUCCUGGCUCAGGACGAACGCUGGCGGCGCGCUUAACACAUGCAAGUCGAACGAGGUCCAUCCAGUCGCAAGACCGGUGAAGACCUAGUGGCGAACGGGUGAGUAACACGUGAGAAACCUACCCCGAAGACCGGGAUAACCAGCCGAAAGGCUGGCUAAUACCGGAUACCUUCACGACGUCGAAUGGCGAUGUGAAGAAAUGGAUUCCGCUUUGGGAGGGUCUCGCGGCCUAUCAGCUUGUUGGUGAGGUAACGGCUCACCAAGGCAACGACGGGUAGCUGUUCUGAGAGGAAGAUCAGCCACACUGGGACUGAGACACGGCCCAG